ACAGUAUUGGAUCAAGUACGUGGGCCUAGCCAGCGGCGACACGAUGGUCCUCUCCGGUGCUUGUAAAUGGAAAAAGAAAAAAAAGAGGGGAAAUGGCAUGAGGUGGCAAUUUUGCGAAGGCCAUAUUGACAGUGCCAUUUUUGCGAAGCCAGAUAUUGAAAGUGGCAAAUAUCCAAUUUUCUCCUCGCCGGCUGGACGACGGCGAGCGCCGGUGUCGAGGUGGGGCAGAACCGCAGAAGCCAUGAAGGGCCCGGCGCCUGCGGGCGGAAGCAGCAGGGGAGGUCGGCGGUUGGGAUGCUCGCCGGUUGGACGACGGCGAGCGCCGGUGAGCACAACGCAUGGUGUAGCAGGCUGGACAGGCAGCGGGAGCGGCAGUCAAGACCAUGGGCGGCUUGGUCACCUAGCACCGCAGUCACCCCCAACCCUCUUCAUUGCGCAAGGCUGCAGAAGGACGAACGGCGGCCUCCAUCCCUGGCUCAUCCUCCUUGCGCGUGCCGGCCUACCGGAGGUUGCCUCCUCUGUUGGUUGUCCUGGUUCCGCCCUAAUCUGUGGGGAUCCUCCCUCCCUCUCCAUCGAUUUGGGGAGGUAUGAUAUGGUGGUGGCUUGCAGUGUAGGAGGUGGGAGCGAAGACUCUGACGGCCAGAUCGAGAGGCUUAACUAAUGCAGCACCAUGGCAACUUAGCCCAAACAUGUCAUCAAGCAGGCGCCCAAGUGGAAUCCGGCAAUUGCUUGCUGCAGAGCAAGAGGCUCAGCAAAUUGUAAAUACUACCAGGGCUGGUAAAGUUCUCUGAUUUUGGGCUUGACUCAUUAUGAAGCGAGCAUAAUGUUGUGCGGUGAGUACAUUAUGAAUUGACCGUUUGUGUGGAUCUGCUCUGUUGGCUUAAAUUAAUAUUUUAUACUUGAAUACACCUGCCAACUUUUGUAGGAUUUGUCACAAUGUGAUGACAUUUUCUAAUUUAUUUGAUGUGUCUGUCCUGCCGUACCAAGUUUAUCAUACUGUGAAUUCAUGAUACAUCAUGUCCCAUUGUGAGUUGUUAUGAAAUCAUCAUCUGGUUUACAGCGCAGGCGCACAAUUGCUGGCAUUCUGUAACCCUUUACCUGGUAAUAUUGCCUUUGUUAUUUGAUAGGACGUGUCAUCUGAUUAUGUCGUUGGGUGGGAGUAUCUUAAAAGAAAGUGGAAUGUUUGCAUUGCAUUGUUAAGUUGGCAAAAUCUGUUGCAUUUAUGAAAGCACUUACCAUAGAAAUAUUUGAACUUCUAUGAAUAUUAUUGUUCACUACGAAGCUGAAAUUGAAGUAUCUACUUUUGUCUGUCAACUAAAAUCUGACGUCUUUGGCAGCGAAAACGGCAAGGCUUAGGCAAGCAAAAAAAGAGACUGAUAGAGAAAUAGAUGAGUACCGUGCCAUGAUAUCUAAUUCAGUUUCUACACCGUAUACUUAUUUUUUUUGUUAAAAAAUUGCAGUAAGCUUCAAUUCAUGAUCAAAUCUGCAAUACCUUUACUAUUUGGACUCACAAAUAGCAUCUAUGUCAGUACCAUUGAUAAAUACAUUUUCAGUUUCCCAAUAACCUGCAAUGCCUGCUCAGGUUAGUGAUUUGGCCCCCCACUUCAUAUACACCAAGAGAUAAACUGUCAAUUUGUAGUAUACUUUCUUAUGCUUGAGUGGGUCAAUAGAUUUUAGGCUUGAGUGUCUAAGUGUCAAAUUUAAAAGUAUAAGAAACAAGAUAAAUUGUGAUCUUGCAUUGUCUACUCCUCUAUUGAUGUGGCUCUUGGUUGCUGAAGCUCCCAGGAUUUAAUAAUGAGCUGUCUUGGGCUUCAUUGAACAAAUGAUCUACCUGGAGCAAUGGUACAGGCAAGUAUUUUUAUUUUAAACACUGAAAGCAUUAAGUUAUCAAGUGCUAAAAGAUCUGAGCUAUGGUAAUUGGCUGUCCUUUGGGGGCAGUGUAGAUUGUUGUUGAAGCCUGAUGGCCUUUUUCUUGCAGCAAUUCUUCUCUCAUGUGUUGAGGAUCUUUUGGGAACAUUUUUUCUGUAACUUCUUAUAGAGAUGUUCAAUUAGUUGCACAGACAUGCAUACAUGAUUCUGUGAGGAAAUUACUUUCUCUGGUCUCUUCUUUAUAAAUGUUUUCCAGUGGCUGUUUAAUAUAGAUGUUUCAUUUGUUGCAUAAAUAUGAUUCUAUGAGCAAAUUAUCUUCACCGAUCUGUUUUAGAGAGAUAUCUGAUUGGCUGCACGAGCAUAGAUGGUGUUAUGACCGGCAUAGGGGCUUAGCCCAGUGGGUUAUGGCCCAAGUAUCUUAAUUAGGGGCUUAGCCCAAUUAUCUUAUCGUAUUAGGAUCGUUUGCUUAGGAGUCAAGUAAACCUCUCUAUAUAAGGAGAGGAGAUGUAUCAAUCUAAUGAAGCAAGAAGCAAUCAAUAUUUGCUCGACUUCCCUUAGGGAGCCGGGAGACCUAAACCCUAGCCGCCUCCUGCUUUCGCCGCCGCUGCUCCCGUCGCAAGGACGGCGCCACGCCGGCGGCCGCCGCGCACCAGCCCUCGCCCUUCCCCCUCCUUCCCCUACAACCUACGCCCCAGGCCUGGUAGGGUACAAGCUCCUACCAAUUUGGUAUCCAGAGACUUGGGUCCGAUCAUGUCUUCGUCAACACUAUUGCCGCCGCUGCCCGUCUCCACCUCCGCGCCGAUGACCACUGCCGGGGCCUCCACGCUGUCGGGCCCAGUCACCACCGCAGGCUCCUCACCGCCCCCAACCCCCAUCACUUCCGCGCCGCCAACGGCCGCCGUCUUCACACCGGAACAGGUCACCACUACCUUGCGGGAUCUCGUGACGGCCGUCCAGGGACUCCUUCUGAACCAGUACCAACCGUACAUGGCCGGGCCGUACGCACCUCCGCUGGCUGCGCCGAUCGCCGCCUACGGCCACCCCACACUGCCAUGGCCGUCCCAGGGCGCGCCUGCCUACAGCAGGCAGCCGCUGCUGCCGUUCCAGGCAGGCUCCCCCACGCUGCCGUGGCCAUCCCAGGGCGCGCCUGCCUACAGCGGGCAGCCGCUGCUGCCGUUCCCGGCGGGCUCCCCCGCGCUGCCAUGGCAGGCCCAGGGCGCGCCGGCCUACACCGGGCUGCCGCUGUUGCCGUUCCAGGCGGGGCACCCCGGCGAGACCACUCCGGACGCGGCUCCUCUGUGGCAUCUGCCGCCGCCGCCAGCUGCGGCUCCCCUUUGGCAUCUGCAGCCGCCUUCCCCCGCGGCAACCGACGCACCCGCCCACUCUCCACAGCCGACGCUGCAACCACCGGCGCCACCUCUGCCCAGCUCAGGGGCGUCCUCGCCGGCCGGCCUUUCGAUACAUCAGGUCCAGUUUCCGGCCUCCCCGUCGCCACUACCAGCUUGGGCGGCUGGGUCUUCGCCAUCGCCGGUCUACACCACGGCUCCGGAGCAGCCGACCCCGUUUCCGCAGUUCGGCGGGCCAUCCAACUCCGCGGGUCCUUACCCGGAGUACUCCGACCAGGCGCCACCCGCCUCGCUACUCCGCACCUCCGAGCCAGCUCGACACGGCGCUCCGACCCAGACACCGUCGCGGUUCGCCAAGAUCGACUUCGCCACCUAUGACGGCACGGAGGACCCCCUCAACUGGCUCAACCAGUGCGACCAGUUCUUUCGCGGGCAGCGUACCCUCGCCUCGGAGCGCACCUGGCUCGCCUCUUACCACCUCCGCGGCGCGGCACAGACCUGGUACUACGCCCUCGAGCAAGACGAGGGCAGCAUGCCCCCUUGGGAGCGCUUCCGCGAGCUCUGCCUCCUUUGUUUUGGGCCCCCGAUCCGCGGGAGCCGCCUGGCGGAGCUAGGCCGCCUUCCCUUCACCUCCACGGUUCAGGACUUCGCCGACCGUUUCCAGGCCCUGGCAUGCCACGCGUCGGGCGUGACGGCGCAGCAGCGGGCCGACCUCUUUGUCGGUGGACUUCCGGAUCACAUCCGCGUGGACGUGGAGCUUCGGGGACCCCAGGAUAUCCAGACGGCCAUGUACUACACCCGUGCGUUCGAGCGCCGCGCAGUGGCCGUCCAACAGGAGUCACCGUCCCGGGCCACUGGGUCGCUACCCUGGCCAGAUCCGCUCAGGGUCGGCCUGCACAGGCUUCCGCGGCACCCCUCGCUGCGACUGCGGCGCGCCCGUUCCGCCGGCUCACCUCGGCCGAGCUACUCGAGCGUCGCCGCCAAGGGUUGUGCUUCAACUGCGACGAGCCCUACACGCCUGGCCAUGCCUGCCCGCGACUCUUCUACCUGGAGGUGCAGACUACAUUCCGGAGGACGCCGUCGCCGCCGACCUUGCCGCCCCAGCUGUCGCGAAGGUGUUUGAUGCUGGUUGAUCAUCUCGAGGAGUUCAGCAAGCGCUUCCCCACCUUACAGCUCGAGGACGAGCUAUUUGUGCAGGCAGGGAGAAGUGUUAUGACCGGCAUAGGGGCUUAGCCCAGUGGGUUAUGACAACAACGACGACAACGACAACGCUAUCACAACACCUGUUGUUGUUGUUGUUGUUGUUAGUCCCAAACAAGUUGGGGUAGGCUAGAGGUGAAACACAUAAGAUCUCGCAACCAACUCAUGGCUCUGGCACAUGGAUAGCAAGCUUCCACGCACCCCUGUGCAUAGCUAGCUCUUUGGUGAUACUCUUACGCCCCAACGAAAAUCUUUUGGAUUUCAUCUCCGUAAGAGUGGCUGAGUUUUUACGUUGGCUCGCCAAGCCUAUCACAAGCCUGCCAGGAUGGACAAUUCAAUUAAAAACCACUGGAACAGUUGUGCAAGGAAGAAAAUUGAUUCAUAUAUGUCAUCAGGUUUACAUGCUCAAGUCUCGUGUCUUCCACUUAUUGAACACCAUACCGAUUUAAUUUCCUCAUCGGUGAUUACCCAACUAAACAGUGAAGACAGUGAUAGCAAUGGUAUCCAUGAGGUUGAAGAUCCAUCAGGGUGUAGUCAGUCCUCAUUGGUAUGGUUUCUUCCUCAAGUGCAGAACGUCAAUCUGGCCUUGAGCUGUGAUUUACAUGUGAAUGCAUAUCCCAGCAAGACAGAAGCACAUGAUUAGUAAUCUUCUGUGUGUCAGAAUGGCUAUACUUCCACUGAGGGUGUUGCAUCUGUUGUCUGAGGUUCAUUGCCAUGUGUUAGCGGCUAGGGUUCUGCCCGGUCUUGGCCGGAGACAGUAGGGAAAGGAGGGGGAAGGGCGAGGGCCUGAGCGCGGCGGCCGGCGGCGAGGCGCCGUCCUGGCGCAGUGCGGCGGCGGCGAGAGAAGGAGGCAGCUAGGGUUUAGGGUUUCCGGCUCCUCUGGGAGCCGGGCAAUAGAAAUAGUCUUAUUGCUUAAUUCUCAAAAUAGUCUUACAGCUCGUAUAUAUAACCAUAAUCUGAAAAUAAAACUAAGAUAACUUGCGGGCCUAAGCCUGCCUGUUGGGCCUCCUGCGGCCAUAGACCUGGCCGGUCAUAACACCAUGUUUCUAACUCCAGAUUUGAUCCAGAUAAACUCUUGCUGUAUGAGAUAGUAAAUCAACCAUUUGUAGAACAAUGAAAGAUCGAUGUUUUGCAAAACAAUCAGACCAUUUGAUGUAUAAGAUAUAUUUACUUUAUUUUACUGUAUUUCUUAUGUUACCGUCGAUUGGUUUUUUAAUGUUCCUUUAUGUAAUGUGUCAAUAUGCAGCCAAGCAGUGUCUGUUGGUUCUUCUACUCUUGUCCUUGGAUAGAGAACUUUGCAUAAUAACUAACAUGAGCGCAGGACAAUGCUGACUGUGGCUUUGCUUUACCUCAUUUUCUUGUUUUCUCACUUAGAUGCUGUUAAAGUGUCUUGCCCUUUUUUAGUUGGUCCACCUGGACCACAAAACCUUGCUUCUAAUCUGGGACUGGAGAUAAAUGUUGUUGUAGUUUAUCGAGUAUCGACCAUUGAUUUUAGGCCCAGGUUAUUUUGAUCUGCUCCAUAAUACCGACUGUAUGCUGCUUUGGGUGCAACCAAGGUUGUGUGUAAGUCAAGGAAUGCUGAUCGUCGUGGCAUGGUGUGGAAUCAAAACUGAUAAUCAAGCUUUCAACAGUUUUUUUAGUUUGGCCUUUUUGCAGAAAAGAGUAUUACCGAAUAAACCAAUUUGAAGUAACUGAAUAAUUGGUCACCAAUUUGCAUUCAAUCUUCUAAAGUUUGCUAAUAUAUGUGAUUAUGUACCAUGAAGUCCAUGGCUAACAGCUUCAGCUUUAUACUUGACAUAUGUGGCCAAAAAGAUCUGUACUGAAACAUCUAGAGAAAUCAUCAGAGAGAAUACUAUGGAUGAGAAUGGACUUUUGGGGGCAAACUGUUUCAAAACCCUCUGGGUUUGAAUCUGGACCCUGCGCCAUUUGCCUCAUGUUACUCGAAUAAGAUAACAAAAGAUGCAUGCUCAAGUAUAUAUUUUCAAAGAUAAAUUAUCCUUCAUUAUUCAUCUUAAAGAGUGUGAAUUACCAUAAGUGGUUGCUAAAAUCUACGUCUACUAAAGAAGUCAAAUAUAACACUUCGGGUUUGACAUGGUCUGCGCUUGCUCAAACAUAAAAAAGAAACUGAAAAAGAAAACAUUUACAACGUGCACGUGGUUUCAAAUGGGACUCGUGGUCUAUGUAAAUUUUCUUUUAUACAUGGGGAUCUAAAUUCUUAACGUGGGUGCUAGCUCAGCAAAAAAUUACUGAAAAUUACACAUUUUUAGUGGUAUACAACGGGACUUUGUGCUGUCAAAUUUAAAUGUGUGUGUACAAUCUCUUUUAGACAAUAAGCCACCAUUCCUUAUUUUUUUAUAUUAAAAAGCGUUCAAUUUUUUACCGUAUGUGCUUGCCCACAACUAAAGCAACUAAACUGAGGAUUUUUUUCUCAUUGUGUACAUGAAUUCAGCGGGUCUCUGCGUCAUUUGGUGCAACGGAUCCACUAGUUCAUAAAAAUUUAUGGGCUUUGCAAUGAUAGCCGAAGCGCUGUGCCUAUUCCCUCCGUCUGAUGAAAAGUAUACAUUUAGAAAUUUUAGAACAAAUUAUGAUGUUGAGUAAAAAAUGCAUUGGAAAGAUGCAAGCUACCAUCUCUUUUCUUUUUAAUUACCCAACCUUCAAUGAGCUAAGUGCAUGUAGAAAUUAAGAAAACUAUGUAUAUGUAUAGAAUGCUAUUGAUCUUAAUUACCGUGUGAUGAGAGAAAAUACUUUAAAGUGUAUUGAGAAGAUAGAAAUAUACUUUUUUGUAAAUAAAUUUUAAACUCAAACGUACACUGCUCAUAGGACGGAGGGUGUACCUGUUAGGGCAUGUACAAUGGUUGAUAAAACAGUCUUAUCUUAAGUCUUGCAUGUAAUUUAGAGAUGACAAAAAAGUAUGUUUACAAUGAGUUAUAUCUUAGCCUUAUCUUCAAUAACUAACAAUUCCUUAAAACAUGGUGAGACAAAUUGUGCUAAGAGAUCAUCUCUUGUCUUAUCUUAAAUAAGAGAAGACAAGCCUUUUCUUAUAAAUUCUCUUUCCUCCACCUCAUCAUUUAUCCUACGUGGCACUCUUAAGAUAGCACUAUUGUACAUGCCCUUAUAGUGAUUUCAAGUACGAAUAGUAGUCACAUGCGAUUCCCAGCUCAGCCGCCGCACGGCCUUUUUAACCGCCACACGUCCCCAAGAUACACCCAAUAAUUGGCACACGCUUCGGCGCCCAUCCUCACGGUUUCUUCUAGCCUAAAAGUCAAGCAGAGGAGGAGGAGGAGGAGGAGCACUGAGGCUUCUAGGAACUUGAGGCAGGGACGUCCGGCAGGAGGCAUGUGGGGGCGGCACUACUGGGGCGGCCGGCGGCCGAGCGACGGCGCCGCGGGUGCGGAGGCCGGCGGCGGCGUGGUGGUGAUGUUCGCGUGGCUGUCGAGUCAGGAGCGGCACGUGCGCGCGUACGUGGACCUGUACGCGGCCCUUGGGUGGGCGUGCCUCGUCUGCCACUCCGACUUCGUCACCCUAUUGGGAUAUUUGGGGGCACGCGGCUGAUGCUAGACUUGGUAUGCGUCUUUUUGGCAACUUCCAAAUUGAUCAGGAAAUCCAGAACUUAAGAUAG